rnacentral:rRNA from 1 species
UACGUAGGGUGCAAGCGUUGUCCGGAAUUAUUGGGCGUAAAGAGCUCGUAGGCGGUUUGUUGCGUCGGCUGUGAAAUCCCGAGGCUCAACCUCGGGUCUGCAGUCGAUACGAGCAAACUAGAGUGUUGCAGGGGAGACUGGAAUUCCUGGUGUAGCGGUGAAAUGCGCAGAUAUCAGGAGGAACACCGGUGGCGAAGGCGGGUCUCUGGGCCGAUACUGACGGCUGAGGAGCGAAAGCCAGGGGAGCAAACGGG